ensembl:lncRNA novel transcript
AUUACUGGGGCCCGGACACAUUAUUUUCUCCAAGGAAUUUCUUCUUUUCAUUAUUUCCCUCCAAAGUUCUAGAGGCCAGAACCAAAAUCAAGAUGCUGGAAGAGCUGUGCUUUGUCCAAAGGGCCCAGGGAGGACGCUUUCUGGCCUCUGCCAGCUUACGAUGACUCCAGGCAUUCCUUGGCUUGUGGCCACAUCACUCUAGUUCCACCUCCAUCUUUGUGUAGCUUUCUCAUGGGGAGCUUCACUGAUCCUGAGCCCAGGAUGAGGCACUUUGUGUUCAUCAUCCCUAGGAAUCACUGAAGACAGCUAUGAGCCAGGUGGUGCGGUGCCCGUUGCACAGAGGAGGAGAGCGAGGCCCAUGUCCUGUCCUCGUGGGGUGCUCAGCUGCAGCAGCCCGGAGCCCUGAGGUGGCCACGAACUCUGGCCAGGGGGUGGCAGGGGCACUGUAUGCGUUGUAGGGCCUGUUUGGGAAGACAUUGAAGAGUAGGCGCCGAUGGGGACACUGAGCCUCAGAGAGAAGAACGAUGUGGCCAGGGUCCCGCAGCGAGGAUGCGGCAGAAUCAGGAUUGGAACCCAG